GAUGAAGAACGUAGCGAAAUGUGAUACGUAAUGUGAAUUGCAGAAUUCAGUGAAUCAUCGAAUCUUUGAACGCACAUUGCGCCCGCCAGCACUCUGGCGGGCAUGCCUGUUCGAGCGUCAUUUCAACCAUCAAGCCCCAGGCUUGCGUUGGAGCCCUGCGGCUGCCGCAGCCUCCUAAAAGCAGUGGCGGGCUCGCUAUCACACCGAGUGCAGUAGAUUACUCUUCGCUCAGGGCGUGCAGCGGGUUCCGGCCGUGAAACCCCCUACUUUUAAAGGUUGACCUCGGAUCAGGUAGGAAUACCCGCUGAACUUAAGCAUAUCAAUAAGCGGAGGA
rnacentral:misc_RNA from 1 species